UACGGAGGGUGCAAGCGUUGCUCGGAAUUAUUGGGCGUAAAGGGUAGGUAGGUGGUCUCAUUUGUCUGGGGUGAAAGCCUUGAGCUUAACUCGAGAAGUGCCCCAGAAACGGUGAGACUAGAGUCCUGGAGAGGGUCGUGGAAUUCCCGGUGUAGCGGUGAAAUGCGUAGAGAUCGGGAGGAACACCAGAGGCGAAGGCGGCGACCUGGACAGGCAUUGACACUCAACUACGAAAGCGUGGGGAGCAAACAGG
rnacentral:rRNA from 1 species